AGACCUCAGCUCAACUGGAGACCAGCAUGUCUGCGCAUAGCCCAUUGCCCCAUACUUCCUGUAAUCCCAGAAAGAGGAACAGUGAAAAUGAGAUCAUUAAAGAGAAUAGAAUGUAGACUGCCACAUCAAAUAAGAAGAAGUGAGAAGCCUGUGUUUUCAUCCCAGUGGACCAAGAGGAAAGGAGGAAAGAAGCAAGGAAGGAAAGCAGUUUUACCUUUUUCACUAAUCCCAUAUUUUUCAGUGAACACCACUCUUUUAACUUCUCUGGUAAAUUCCAAAACCUGCUUUCUGGAUAGUUCCAUGUGAACUUAUCACCACUGCACCAUAUCUAGCAUACUAUGUGCUACAUGCUAAAUUAAGUCUCUCUUAUCCAAGAA
ensembl:lincRNA 1700044K03Rik RIKEN cDNA 1700044K03 gene